AUGCUACUCUAAGGGUAAAAGGGUGAGUGGU
rnacentral:piRNA from 1 species